rnacentral:rRNA from 1 species
GUCUACAUUAGAUACCCCCGUAGUCCCAGCCGUAAACUAUGCUCGCUAGGUGUCAGGCAUGGCGNGACCGUGUCUGGUGCCGCAGGGAAGCCGUGAAGCGAGCCACCUGGGAAGUACGGCCGCAAGGCUGAAACUUAAAGGAAUUGCGGGGGAGCACCACAACAGGUGGAGCCUGCGGUUUAAUUGGACUCAACGCCGGGAAGCUCACCGGAUAAGACAGCGGAAUGAUUGCCGGGCUGAAGACUCUGCAUGACUAGCUG